rnacentral:misc_RNA from 1 species
GAUGAAGAACGCAGUGAAAUGCGAUACGUAGUGUGAAUUGCAGAAUUCAGUGAAUCAUCGAAUCUUUGAACGCCCAUUGCACCUCUCGGUAUUCCGGGAGGUAUGCCUGUUCGAGCGUCAUUUGUACCCUCAAGCUCUGCUUGGUGUUGGGUGUUUGUUCCGCCUCUGUGUGUGAACUCGCCUCAAAACAAUUGGCAGCCGGCGUACUUGUUUCGGAGCGCAGCACAUUUUGCGAUCCAGAUCAACGUACAGCGGCAUCCAAGAAGCCUUAUUUAACGCUCUUGACCUCGGAUCAGGUAGGGAUACCCGCUGAACUUAAGCAUAUCAAUAAGCGGAGGA